GGAAGGUCUGGGAGGACCUGGAGGGCGCAGCCCAGGGACAAGGAGGGGCAGGAGGGAGCCUGGACUUUGGAGGAUGGGGAAGGCAGGCCAGGGCCCGGAGUGGGUGAAGACUUCUCAGGACUAGGCCAGGUAGGCAACGAACCCCCAGGAACACUGGCCCAAGACAACGCCCUCCCCCAACCCCUGCACCCUCCAUCCACAGCCCGGAGGUGCAGCACUUUCUACAACCUGCCCACAGAGCAAUCUUCCCUGAGAAAGAUCUGCCACAAAGACAUCUGCAGAUGUGCAGAGGGACAGUGCCCAUCCCUGCAGAAGCCCAGUGGCCAAUUGAGGCAGGAGGAGCUCCAGACAACAGCAUGUGAGGCAGGCGUGGAUUUUGUGUACAAGACAAAGCUGGAAUCUGUGGAGGUCUCUGCCUCCAACCCUUACGUCUAUUACAACACGCAGCUCGAAGACAUCAUUAAGAGUGGUACGGACCCUGCCACACCCCUGGCCAUGAAGAAAUUCGUCUCCCAUGCCACUUGCCAUGACUCCCUGGGGUUGCAAGAACAGGAAUCGUACCUCAUCAUGGGCCAGACGUCAGACCUGUGGAGAAUCAAAUCUGAUUACAGCUAUGUUCUGGGCAAGGAGACGUUCCUCAUCCUUUGGCCAGCAGAUGGAGAUGCCAGCAAGAAAGAAUUGCGGGACCAACUGGAGGAAUUUUUGGAAUAUAUGCGCACCCACGGCUGCCAGUCCUGAGCCUCUUCUGCUUUCAGGGAGGUGUCAUCAGGCAGCUCUGGGCCACUGGGUUUAACCCCAAAUAAAGAGCACAGGAUAUGACACCC
rnacentral:lncRNA from 1 species